GAAAAAAAAUUAUAAAGAGACUUCCGUUGCCGGGAAUCCAAUCCGGGUCUCUCGGGUGAGAGCCGAGUAUCCGAACCAACUAGACUACAACGGAAUGUGAUCGUAGGUGUCCGCAAUCAAUUAUUGUCGUAAGAUGCAGCGAACGAGAAUUCUCCCUCAAGUCAAUUUCAUUUCACUCACUUGGAACUCAGGAACCCAGCUAAUCGGAGAUGAGGGAGGAAGAAAUUGAGAAGCUUCGAGGUGUUGUGAGGGACUGGGUAAGCAAGCACCUCUACUCUUCUGCCAUCUUCUUCGCAGACAAGGUUGCCGCCUUUGCCAAUGAUCCCGCCGAUAUCUGCAUGCAGGCUCAGGCCCUCUUCCUCUGCCGCCAUUACGGUCGCGCCUUUCAUCUCCUCAAUGCCUCUUAAGAUAGUUCUCCGUGAUCUCCGCUUCCAAUACCUAGCUGUCAAGUGUCUAUUACUUGUCAUAAACCGAUGAAACAACGUUGGAACUAGCUACAGGGGAGCUUACUAGGCUAUGAAGCUCGGGCAGGGGCAUGGCGAUACUUCAAACACAACCGGCACUAGGAGGAGCUCAAGGAAUGGGAUCAAUGCUUAUUAAUGCUGGGUGAGGCUAAAGUGGAUGAACAAGGCAAUGUUUCAGACACAAAGUAUUCUAAUGUCAUGUACUUUGGAUAAAGAAGGUGAAGAUCGUGAGGUCAAAGUGACGUGCUACUUCUGGGUUACUUUUACCUUGUAAAUUGUAAUGUUUGUUUAUAAGCUUUUGCCCUUAUGCGUUGUCAAGGAUCUUGAGACAAUUCUAGUCAAUGUUGGGAAUUUAACUUUUUUUUUUUUUCUUAAUCAAAUAGCGAGAGAAACAUAGUAUCAAACUGGAAGCAAUAAGCAACUGCAACUUUAUAAUUAGGUGACUACAGUGGCAUAAUAUCAAUGCUAUAUUCCUGUACUGCCAGUAUCUGAUGCUGAUAUUAUAAGUGGAAAAAGAUACCAAACGAAAAUUAAUAUUCUAGCGCAAGAGGAUUAUUAUUGAGCCUUCUUUCAAGAACUUAGCUGGGAUACUUCUAAGACUUAUGAUUUGCCUUAAGGGAGGCCAUGAAUCCAUCUGAUGUUGAAUCAGCAGGGUAUAGGGGGAAAAUAGUGAGAGAACAGGAGGGGGAAAGAUAAAAAAUGAGAUCAUGUCAAUCCUCAAAACUGAAGGAAAAGUCUGACAUGUUUUCUAUUCCUUGUGGGUAGCAUUCUUUUACUGAUUCCAUUUACUACUGUAAGUCUGACAUGUUUUCUAUUCCUUAUGGGUAGCAUUCUUCAAAACAUUUAGGCCAUGUUUGGUAGACUGGAAUUGUAGAGAUGGAAAUGGAAUUGGAAAAAGAAUCUGAAUAAAGUGAUGUUUGGUAGACAUGAAUCAUUAUUCCCAAGAAUCCCAAUUCCAUGAAAAUAGGUUGAAUUGGAUUUUUUGUUUAAAGCUAUGGAAUCAAGGGCAAUUCCAUAGAAUUGUGACUUUUAAGACACUUUUACUGAUGUCCUGUUUUGGAAACCGUCAAACUUAAUUACAUGUUUAUUUUCCCUCAAACAUACAUCGAGAUACCUUACUGUUGAAUAUUUGGUUUGCUUUGGAAGUUUUGAACCAAAAUGGCACUUACUAAUGGGUUGUUAAGUUAUUUGUGUGAUAUGUAUGUUUAAGUUAUAAGUUUUAAAUUGCUAUUAUAGCCAUGUUGUGGUAGCGUCUUCUAACUGUAUGUAUAGAAAUUUGUAUCUUUGCAAACUUUUGUGCUUUGCCUAAUCUAUUUCCAUUUCUGACAUCUUGGAUAAUUAGAAACAUUGAUUCGAUAUUGACGCAAUGCAUCUUUUUGGUAUGACUAAAUCAAAAAAUAAACUUUUUUGCAUUUUUUGUGCCCAAACAUUUACCCAGAAAGGGAUUAAGAACAAUACUGUGUUCUUUCCUUAAUUCUUCCCACUUACUGGUUAGAAAUUCUGUAUAUUUUCUAAUAUUUGAUAUGGUAGCAUAAUAUAGCUAAGAUUAACUAUUGACGAUAUCUUUAUUCUGACUUUUUCUUAGUUUUGCUAGUUUGCUUAGUUCAAAGCAUUUUUAUGUGCUGUGACAACCAACUUCUGCAAAAUGUUUCUUAAGAGGCAAAAUGCAUGAAGCUCUGGAAAACUGUGCCCAGACUCGAUUGUGGUACAAAGUUGCUAUAAAAGCUGACCCUUUAUGCUGAGGCUCUGGAAUGUCUUAUUGAAAAUCUCAUGCUCACAUGUGAGGAGGAAGCAAAUUUGAUUUCACCAUUGCAAUAUGGCAGUGAAGAGGGAUGGCUUUCUUCAUUCUAUUCCUGCUUGAUAAAGAAGUAUGAGAAGGAAAACGUUGUGGAAGCAAAGUUUCUAGAACUUGAGAACGCAUGCUGUAAAAUUGAUCAUUCUAAUCCUUCUUUCUUGCCUACAUUGAAAGGCAACACUGACCUAUUAUUAGCCUGCAAAGCUGAAUACUAACAUCAGUGUGGUGAAUAUCAGAAAUGUUUUGAGUUAACAUCUGCGUAUGUUGGGGACCUGAUUUGGAGACUGGAGACUGGAGUGCAAUACAGCUGUGGUUGUUAUCUUGAUAGCUGCUGCUUCGUUUAUCUUUCCGCUGACUCUCUUUGCUAACUGAGUUUCAGCACUCUUGCAGUCUACUUCAGAAAGAUCCUUUCCAUAAUAAGACUACCCUUAGUACAUCUGGCAGCUGCUAUGGAGCUUGGACAUUCAAAUGAGAUCUAUCUGAUGGCAUGCAAUCUGGUGAAGGUUAGCCUCAAAACAAGGCAACAAGUCUAGAUGGAACAUUUGCACCAUAGCCUAUCAGAAGAGGUUGAUCAUGCUUAUGCACAUCAAGUUUUGCAUUAGAAUAUUUUGAUUCAGAUAUGGUUGAGUUGUUUCUUCCGCCCAUAUCUGCAAAACUAAUUUCAAUUUUCAGGUAUGUUAGAGUAGGUGUAAACACCCAAUAUUUCUCGGUGUGAGCAUGAAUUGUAUCAUAGUGUAAAUGUUGCUAUAGUAUUGUGGGCGUGCACGCGCGCGCUCUUUUUUAUAUAAAUAUCGUACAGAUUUUUGACUC